UGAACGAAGAGUUUGAUCCUGGCUCAGGAUGAACGCUGACAGAAUGCUUAACACAUGCAAGUCUACUUGAUCCUUCGGGUGAAGGUGGCGGACGGGUGAGUAACGCGUAAAGAACUUGCCUUACAGACUGGGACAACAUUUGGA
rfam:Fusobacterium varium ATCC 27725 genomic scaffold supercont2.8, whole genome shotgun sequence.